rnacentral:rRNA from 1 species
AUUGAACGCUGGCGGCAUGCCUUACACAUGCAAGUCGAGCGGCAGCGCGGGGGCAACCCUGGGGGCGAGCGGCGGACGGGUGAGUAAUACAUCGGAACGUGUGCUUUCGUGGGGGAUAACCAGUCGAAAGACUGGCUAAUACCGCAUGAGAUCUCACGAUGAAAACGGGGGACCGCAAGGCCACGCGCGAUUGGAGCGGCCGAUGGCGGAUUAGCUAGUUGGCGGGGUAAAGGCCCACCAAGGCGACGAGCCGGAGCUGGUUUGAGAGAACGACCAGCCACACUGGGACUGAGACACGGCCCAGACUCCUACGGGAGGCAGCAGUGGGGAAUAUUGGACAAUGGGCGCAAGCCUGAUCCAGCCAUGCCGCGUGUGUGAAGAAGGCCUUCGGGUUGUAAAGCACUUUUGUUGGGAAAGAAAUCCUGUCGGCCAAUACCCGGCGGGGAUGACGGUACCCAAAGAAUAAGCACCGGCUAACUUCGUGCCAGCCGCCGCAGUAAGAC